rnacentral:rRNA from 1 species
CCCUUAGAUGUUCUGGGCUGCACGCGCGCUACACUGACGCACGCAACAGGUGCCUGCUCCGAGAGGACUGGGUAAUCAUUUGAGUGUGCGUCGUGAUGGGGAUAGAAUAUUGUAAUUAUUACUCUUCAACGAGGAAUUCCUAGUAAGCGCCAGUCAGCAGCUUGCGCUGAUUACGUCCCUGCCCUUUGUACACACCGCCCGUCGCUCCUACCGAUGGGUGAUCCGGUGAAUGAUUCGGACUUCAGCGGCUCCCCUGGGGUGCGCCGGAGAAAGUUUUGUGAACCUUAUCACUUGGAGGAAGGAGAAGUCGUAACA